rnacentral:rRNA from 1 species
UCACUUUCAACAACGGAUCUCUUGGCUCUCGCAUCGAUGAAGAACGUAGCGAAGUGCGAUAAGUAAUGUGAAGUGCAGAAUUCCGUGAAUCAUCGAAUCUUUGAACGCAAAUUGCACUCUCUGGUAACCCGGGGAGUAUGCCUGUUUGAGGGUCAGUG